rnacentral:rRNA from 1 species
GAUGAACGCUGGCGGCGUGCCUAAUACAUGCAAGUCGAGCGAACAGAUGAGGAGCUUGCUCCUCUGACGUUAGCGGCGGACGGGUGAGUAACACGUGGAUAACCUACCUAUAAGACUGGGAUAACUUCGGGAAACCGGAUCUAAUACCGGAUAAUAUAUUGAACCGCAUGGUUCAAUAGUGAAAGACGGUUUUGCUGUCACUUAUAGAUGGUUCCGCGCCGCAUUAGCUAGUUGGUAAGGUAACGGCUUACCAAGGCAACGAUGCGUAGCCGACCUGAGAGGGUGAUCGGCCACACUGGAACUGAGACACGGUCCAGACUCCUACGGGAGGCAGCAGUAGGGAAUCUUCCGCAAUGGGCGAAAGCCUGACGGAGCAACGCCGCGUGAGUGAUGAAGGUCUUCGGAUCGUAAAACUCUGUUAUUAGGGAAGAACAAAUGUGUAAGUAACUAUGCACGUCUUGACGGUACCUAAUCAGAAAGCCACGGCUAACUACGUG